GAGUAAAAGCCUGCUCAGGGCUGUAACUGAGCCAGGUCACAGCUUUUCUGGCCCCCAAGGCGCUGAGGGUUUCACUGCCACUUCUAUCGUGGAGAAAGCCUGUCAGAGAAAGAUGUCCUGUUGAAGGAGGAGAUCUGGAACACAAGAUUUAUGGACUACAAGGACCUUCUGCAGAAACCAGCAGCUAAAGAAGAAGACUAACAAAGGCUCAGCAUUUGUGUCAGAAAAUCCCUAGGGGAGGGAAAAUAUACAAAAAAGAUUAAAGAUAUGAAGUUAU